rnacentral:tRNA from 1 species
UUUACUUUGGCAGAAGAGUGUUUUAAAUUUAGAAUUUAAAUAUAUAUAUUAAAUGAAAAAUAUAUAAGUAAUA